CCUACGGGUGGCAGCAGUGAGGAAUAUUGGUCAAUGGACGGAAGUCUGAACCAGCCAUGCCGCGUGCAGGAAGACGGCUCUAUGAGUUGUAAACUGCUUUUGUACAAGGGUAAACCUGAAUACGUGUAUUCAGCUGAAAGUACUGUACGAAUAAGGAUCGGCUAACUCCGUACCAGCAGCCGCGGUAAUACGGGGGAUGCGAGCGUUAUCCGGAUUUAUUGGGUUUAAAGGGUGCGCGGGGGGAGGCAAAAGUCAGCGGUAAAAUCGCGGGGCUAAACCCCGCUCCGCCGUUGAAACUGUGUCCCUUGAGUGAGCGAAGGGUAGGCGGAAUGCGGGGUGUAGCGGUGAAAUGCAUAGAUAUCACGCAGAACUCCGAUCGCGAAGGCAGCCUACCGGCGCGCAACUGACGCUCAGGCACGAAAGCGUGGGUAUCGAACAGGAUUAGAUACCCUAGUAGUC
rnacentral:rRNA from 1 species